GCGAGGAGGAGAAGAAGGAGAAGAAGGAGGAGGUGGAAGAGGAAGGGGAAUCUCCCAGCGAGGGCAUCGCCAACACCCCACAUCUCUCCUCGCCGGCGGUGGGGAAGGCAUCACAGCGGCACCCGCGGCCAUUUCAGCAUCCUCCUGGCAGCACCUCUGCUGCGGGCUCGGCUCGGCCACAAGGCUGGGGCCAGUGGAAGCCAGCCCCGAGCCAGCCCUGCUCCCUGCCCUGGCUGUUCUUGGACCCCGGCACCCCCAGGACAUGGUCCUGCUUCCCAUGGUGUGGCUGACUCCCCCAAAUCAGUGGGUGGGAGCAUGGAGCUGGUGUGGCCGGUGCCGCUGCAAGGAGCAAGGGGUGAUGGAGGGGGCUGCGAGCUGACAAAACACAAGGCUUUGGGGUGGAGGGUGAGGGACCCCGAGGGGGUGGGCUGGGGGUCAUUUGCCCCAAGCCCAGGGACCCUGUAAAUCACUUAGUGUUUGAUGGCAGAGUGUGGCCCUGCCUGUGCCCCCCACACCCCGUAUUAUCCUCUCGCUCCCUCCUGCAAUCCAUUCCAGCGCGGGGGAUUAGGUGGGUUUAGGGCCGGGUUUGAGUCAGAAAUGGGAUGCUUUCAAAUCAGCCUGCGUCAGUUGUGCCCUCUGUCACUCAUGCGGAGGGGGAUUAAAAUAGAUAUGAAGAUUAUCGGAGGGGAAAUGGCACCCCCACCUUGAGGGCCCGACUUUCCCCCCCCAGCCUCAGCACUGCUGCAUGUGGGGGCAUCACCCAGCGCAGGGGCUGCCUGGCUCAGACCCCCCCGGGAUACCUUCAGCCCCAAGGGCACAAAUUUCUCCUUUUUCCUUGCCUUUCUGCUCACACCGAGGCCCCAGUUCCAAUCCCCAUCCCAUACAGCUCUCCAAACAUCUUUCUUACAUGGGAUGGGGGGGAGACAUCACCUCAGCAGCUCUCAUCACCAGCUCCCUUGUUUCCAGCCCAAUCCCAUUCCCAAAACACCCCUCAGGCUCAAUGCCGGUCCUGCAUGAGAUCCUUGCCCGGAUCCCACGGAGGGCUCCCGGCCCCAGAGAGCCACCGGCCCCUCGGCAGGGCUGGGGUGCGGACAUGGCUGCUGCAACGUGGAGGGUGAGAAGGAAUUGAUGGGGAGACGGCAGCACCGAGGAGAUGGCUCAGCACCGAAAUGUGCAGGUCCUCACGGGCCAGCACUGCUGCCUGGGCUGGGUCUCCUCGCCGGCCCAGCAGUGGUUCAGGCAAGCGCUGCUCAUCGGUGUUU